CCUACGGGCGGCAGCAGUGAGGAAUAUUGGUCAAUGGACGAGAGUCUGAACCAGCCACGUAGCGUGAAGGAUGACUGCCCUAUGGGUUGUAAACUUCUUUUAUAUGGGAAUAAAAUGUUCCACGUGUGGGCUUUUGUAUGUACCCUAUGAAUAAGGAUCGGCUAACUCCGUGCCAGCAGCCGCGGUAAUACGGAGGAUCCGAGCGUUAUCCGGAUUUAUUGGGUUUAAAGGGAGCGUAGGUGGAUUGUUAAGUCAGUUGUGAAAGUUUGCGGCUCAACCGUAAAAUUGCAGUUGAAACUGGAAGUCUGGAGUACAGUAGAGGAGGGCGGAAUUCGUGGUGUAGCGGUGAAAUGCUUAGAUAUCACGAAGAACUCCGAUUGCGAAGGCAGCUCACUGGACUGCAACUGACACUGAGGCUCGAAAGUGUGGGUAUCAAACAGGAUUAGAUACCCCUGUAGUC
rnacentral:rRNA from 1 species